rnacentral:misc_RNA from 1 species
AAAGUCGUAACAAGGUCUCCGUUGGUGAACCAGCGGAGGGAUCAUUACCGAGUUUACAACUCCCAAACCCCAUUGUGAACGCUACCAUUGUUGCCUCGGCGGGAUCGCCCCGGGCGCGUCGCAGCCCCGGGCCAAGGCGCCCGCCGGAGGAAAACCCCCAAACUCUCAUGUUUAGGCCGCCCCCGCGCGGUCCGUAUUACCUCUGAAACCUCCUACGCUCCCCGGAGCGGAAGAAAAUGAAUCAAAACUUUCAACAACGGAUCUCUUGGCUCUG